UGGGGAAUUUUGGACAAUGGGCGCAAGCCUGAUCCAGCCAUUCCGCGUGCAGGACGAAGGCCUUCGGGUUGUAAACUGCUUUUGUACGGAACGAAAAGCCCUUCUCUAAUACAGAGGGGUCAUGACGGUACCGUAAGAAUAAGCACCGGCUAACUUCGUGCCAGCAGCCGCGGUAAUACGAAGGGCGCAAGCGUUACUCGGAAUUACUGGGCGUAAAGCGUGAGUAGGUGGUUUCUUAAGUCUGAUGUGAAAUCCCCGGGCUCAACCUGGGAACUGCAUUUGUGACUGCAUAGCUGGAGUGCGGCAGAGGGGGAUGGAAUUCCGCGUGUAGCAGUGAAAUGCGUAGAUAUGCGGAGGAACACCGAUGGCGAAGGCAAUCCCCUGGGCCUGCACUGACGCUCAUGCACGAAAGCGUGGGGAGCAAACA
rnacentral:rRNA from 1 species